CUGCACUUUUUUUGAGCAAAAUCAGAAAAUGUCCCUGGGAAGUUCCACAGAGCAGUAAACCAUCUGCACAGAGCCACGAAGCAAACUCUGUCUAUUCAGUAACAGGGUCAAAACGGAAUGGGAGAAGGUAUGACAAUGUUACAAAACAAAGGAGUAGAUUUCAUUGUUCGACUUUAGGAGAGUCCAAACUGCUCCCAAGUUUUUAAGGAUAACAAAUUUUGCUCAAAAUAUCAGUUUUUAGACAGUUC